GUAAUAGCUCACUGGUCGAGUCGGCCUGCGCGGAAGAUGUAACGGGGCUAAACCAUGCACCGAAGCUGCGGCAGCGACACUCAGGUGUUGUUGGGUAGGGGAGCGUUCUGUAAGCCUGUGAAGGUGGCCUGUGAGGGUUGCUGGAGGUAUCAGAAGUGCGAAUGCUGACAUAAGUAACGAUAAAGCGGGUGAAAAGCCCGCUCGCCGGAAGACCAAGGGUUCCUGUCCAACGUUAAUCGGGGCAGGGUGAGUCGACCCCUAAGGCGAGGCCGAAAGGCGUAGUCGAUGGGAAACGGGUUAAUAUUCCCGUACUUGGUGUUACUGCGAAGGGGGGACGGAGAAGGCUAUGUUGGCCGGGCGACGGUUGUCCCGGUUUAAGCGUGUAGGUGUGUGUUCCAGGUAAAUCCGGUUCACUUUAACACUGAGGCGUGAUGACGAGGCACUACGGUGCUGAAGCAACAAAUGCCCUGCUUCCAGGAAAAGCCUCUAAGCAUCAGGUAACAUCAAAUC
rnacentral:rRNA from 2 species